rnacentral:rRNA from 1 species
GACGAACGCUGGCGGCGUGCUUAACACAUGCAAGUCGAACGAAGUGGCGAACGGGUGAGUAACGCGUAAUCAACCGGCCCUUCAGAGGGGGACAACAGUUGGAAACGAAUGCUAAUACCGCAUACUGAAGGAGGGGAUUGCGUCUGAUUAGCAAGUUGGAGGGGUAACGGCCGACCAAGGCGAUGAUCAGAAGCCGGUCGGAGAGAGUGAACGGCCAAAUUGGGACUGGGACACGGCCCAGACUCCUACGGGAGGCAGGAGUGGGGAAACUUCCGCAAGUGACGAAAGUCUUACGGGGCAACGCCGCGUGAGUGAUGACGGCCUUCGGGUUGUAAAGCUCUGUUAAUCGGGACGCGGUACCGGAAUAGAAAGCCACGGCUAACUACGUGCCAGCAGCCGCGGUAAUAC